UAUUUGUUACAUCCGACAUUUUUGCUUAUUCGAAAAUUCAAGGUAAAUUGACUUGCAAUGAAUAAGGCCACAAUUGGACCUUACUUGGCAUGAAUGUGUAGGUAAUGAAUACAAUGGUGUGGAAUUACGAAAGGUGGCCAAGGGCAAAAAUUGGAAUUUUGGAAAUUUGCCUUAUGGAUUGCAAUAUGUAGCUAACAAGUUGGACUUAAAAAAAAAAACAAUAAAACAAGGCCCAAAAGGGAAGGCCCAACCAGCCAUGCUAUGUAAAAAAAAAGGGCCCAAGUCCAUGAUUUAAUUAGGUAAUAUUAUAUAUGGUUAUACAUAUCCAUAGAAGGUUCAAGAAAGCAAGAAAAAUCAAGAAAAAGAGAACAAGACCAUUUCGGGUUUGAGAGGAGAAAAAGAAAGAAAAGAAAGAAAAAUUUUGGAGCCUAAUCCUUGAGUUUAAAAUUCAAUUCUUGUGGGAAUACUACUAAGUGCAAAGUCCUCUACAACUUGGUACAAUUAGUUUGGCAAGAGGACAAGUUUAGUGCCAAGUGAAGAACUUGAAGAAAGAUUUUGGACGAAAUUGAAGUCGACGCCAAGCGAGCGUAAGGCGCUAUCGAGGUACAGACGCACCAGGUGAUACGCCGCCAGCGUAGGGUUCUAAUUCUGCUGUUUGAAGAGCUCCUUUGAUCCGGAGCGUAUACUUUUGGUAUAUAUCUUCUGUCUUCUGUAUACUCUGUAUGUAUGGAUAUUCUGGGUACGGCGGGGCCCUGUCCCGUCAUAUGAUUUUGUAUGUCUGUAGAGGCCUGUAGAUAGAUGUGUGGGUUACGGGUUUCGUCUGUAUGUUAGCCUUAUCGGCUUAUAUGUAAAAGUCUGCAUGUUCAGGUAUAUAUAUAUAUAUAUAUGU